CCAUCACCUCCCAGAAGAGCCUCACAUGCUGAGGCUCAGAACGAGGGCCUGUGUCGCAGAUUCCAUAAAGAGGACCAAAGCUACUUCCAGUGGGCAAGCCUUGGGGCUGUGAGGCACAGCUGGCCAGAGUCCGAGAGGCACAGACCAAUGAAGAAAUCUUUUUUUAAACUGUGCUUUAUUUAGGGCUAAGCUGGAGAAAGCGUCAUCCAAUAGUUACAGAAGGUUACAAGGAGUUUUAGGGAGUUGAGUGUGAAAAGAGCAGUUGUACUGAACUGCAGCUGUUUUCUUUUUUUUUCUUUUUUUCUUUUUUUUUUCUUUUUUUUUUACAUGUGGACAUCCUAAAAGGAGGAGUCAAGAGAAAAAAAGAAAAUGAAAAACAACAACAACAACAAAAUUGACAGAAAGAAAGGAAAGGCAGGAGGCCCUAGAGGAACUGGAAAUUUGUUCUUCUAAAGGGAAACAAUGGUAGGUCUGAGAACCCCCGGCCUCCAGAUGACCUGGACAUCAAUGAGAAGGAAUCAAGGCAGAAUGCCAAAGCAAUCUUCCCAAGGGUGCAAAUAAAUUAUAAUAAAUAUGUUAUACUUUAAAAUAUAUGUGUUCUUAAAUAAUUCAGUGUUUUUUCUGAUUCUGAGUUUUUUAAGCAAUGUCUUUAACUGCUCUAAAGUCAUUUACCAAAGAUAAAUAUCGUGCUUUCAUUAAAUAGUUUUCCUUGUUUUUUUCUCUAUCAUUACAAUUAAAAGUCCUACAAAAUAUGCAAAUUUAUUUACAGAAAAACAGAGCCGGCAUCAUUUAAACAUCCCUGUUUUUCAAAAUUCCUUGUAAACAGUUUCAGAAAUUCUUCAAAGAUUGUUUAUUUUUCUCUCUCUUUUUUAAGGUUUUGUGUGUGUGUGUGUUGUCUAGUUGUUUUAAGAUGAAAGUUCCCAGUUCUCCCUUGCCCGGAAAGUCUCUGGAGCAAGCGUGGAAGGCGAGUGAAGCGGAAGGUGAGUGAAGCGCGCGCAGCUCCCAGAGGGAAGCGAGAGGCGAGGAUGAUGGCGGCGGCGGCUGCGACCAGGGCGACGCGACCGUUCCCGACCGACGGCGUGGCCUCCACCGGCGUCGGCAGCCAGGCGCCCGCAGGUGUGGGGCGAAUUCGGCCUGGCCCUUGGGGACAACGGCAUCCGACUGCACUCGCGGGGAGAAGGGAUUGAUGCUCUGUCUAAACUCUACAAAAGUACAGUCCUACAACAUCUGGGAUUUUAGCAGUAAUGCUAACUUCUAUAGGUUUUUUUUUUCCUUUUUUAUUUUUUUUAUUUUUUGCUUUCCUCUAAUUUUUCUUCUAUUAUAUAGGUAUUUUAAACUUUUCCUUUUUAAAAUUCUGUACAACUAUUAUGAUUUUAAGAGGGGGAAGAGUUAGAAGCAUUUACAGACUUUUCACAACAAUGACCUUGCUUGAGAAGCAUAAAAAAACGCUGAACAAGAAAAACCAAACAACAGAAAGUAAAACCACUGCAAGCACCAAGAACGAAACGAAAAUGAGCACAGCAAAAAAGAUUGUGGCAGCACAAAAGUCAAGAAAAUGCACGUGUGAUCAUGACUGGCCAAUCAUCAACUGAUACAACAUCCAAGAAAAACGCUCCAAUCACAGCACCUCCACGAAACUUGACGGCAAUUGUCAUGCAACCGAUUCUUAGCCUUGUUACAUGACGCCAUCAUGUCACACUGUGAACUUUGAGUUGAUUUGAACUUACGGAUGGGGGACUUUUCUCCACUCUCAUGUGAUUACGUGAACUUUAUUCCUAGCUCAGCGCGAGACUGUGGUGGAUUUGACUGGCCCUGGUUGGGUUGUUGGAAUUUGAUUGAAUGACAAAAGAAGAAAAGAUUUAUAUAUAUAUUUAUAUAUGUAGAGAGAGAGAGAGAGAGGACAAGAGAGUGUGGGUGGGGGAAGGAAGAGGUGGGGCAGGGCAGGUGGGGUUGGGGAGUGUGGGAGGGCAGGGAGGGCUGGGAUUCAGGUGAAGGAGGGCAAGGAAGAAGUUAAAACAAAAUUAAAAAGAAAAUAUAUUUAUACAGCACCAGACCACAGCAUCAAUCUAGAAGCUCUGAUGAGAGAAUAGCAGUCAAAUCAUAAGAGAACUGAAAAGAACUCAAAGGAUGGAGGAAGCCAGCAGACAAACAUGGGCACAUCAACACACACACACGCACACACACACGCACGCACACACAUACACACAUACACACACACGGUUGUUUAUGCAGACACAUGAUACACUGUGAACAGAAGCAGAACCUCACACAGGGCCACUAAGGGCAUCCAUCAUGCGUUGGGGAGGGGGGCAUGGGCGGUUUGGCAGGGGGGCCAGAAAAAAAAUAAAACAGCCCCUCAAACCACCUUGGCCAGCAAGCAAUCUCAGGGAGCGGGCGCUCUGCUUUUCAUCACCCUUGAUUCUUUCUCUCCCCCAGGGGUGGCGCUCCCUCCCUCCUCAGCUUUCUGUGACUACAGCCUGUGGGCCAGCAGGGGAUGUCUGUCAAGGUGGCCCUGGUCAGCUGGGUAGGUCAGAGGCUUGCUAUGGUAACUGCUGUGUCCACGGGGUCCAUCUACAAAAUGCUUUGCUGCCAUAGUACCACCCAGGCUGGCAGCAGCUCGGCCCUCCCACCCUGUGGACCCACCCUGGCCACCAUCCUAGAGAAGGCUGCAAGGGCACCCACUGUGGAGGUUAUGGCCCUCCCCCAUUUCAGCUCCACCUCAAAUUACUUUCCUCAGAACCUGAGCAGGGUUCAUUUUGAGAUUUAGGGUAAAAUUCAUCAAUGUUCUUGGAAUUCUAGAAACAUGCCUUGGCACUACUGAGUUCAUCUUGCAUUUGCCUUACCCUCUUUCUUUGCUCACACUCUUUGCCUUGCUCCCAAGUGGCCUGUGUAACCAAACUGAGGCUGCAUCUAGGCACAUGAAGCCCUUCGAAGGUUCUGCAGCCCUGACCCAUAAAAGCGCCACAUGGAAGGCUGGAGGGUGCCCUGCAGGGGGCCAUGUGCAAGGCUGGAGGGUCCCCUGCAGGGGGCACAGAGGCGAGCGCCUCCAGCCUCUGCUGCUCCCACUCUUGCUCUGCUGACUUCCCCUCCUCCCUACCCCAUCCUCUUUUCCCACCCUCUCACCCCAUACCCCUCCAGGAACAGCUUUCCAGCCUGGCCCACCGCAAGGCCCCAACCUUCAGCUUUCUUUCCUGGUGGAGCCCUAAGUAGUUGAGAAUGAGUUCUCUUCUCUAUCAGGAAUCAUCAGGUGAUUCAACUUUUGGUUGACUUCUCCACCCCUCACCACUUCAUAGUCCUCUGCUGCACCUGGGCCCCUUUGGGGUCCUUAGCUCCACCCCUCCCCAUAGUUAUCUUGAGCUUGCACUGGAUGCCCUGCUCCCCUGUGGCACUCAGGCCUGGGCCAAGGCCUGUGUGCCAGGUUGAUCUGCAGGCUUUCCAGUCCACAGGCUUCUACAUACAGCAGACUUUCACUCUCAGCUUUAUGCUUUCCUUCAGGGAGGGAGGGAGGGAGGAAGGGAGGCCUGGGAUCUUAAAAUAUCACUGUGGAUGAGGGGCAAAGAAGCUGAGCCCAAGCCCGGCCUCCAGCUCAACCUUCACAGAAGCACCCCAGACUCCUCCUCUGCAGACCCCAGCCUGCCUGCCCACCAGGGCUGGGUUCUUUGCUCUUCCAACAUUGAAUCUCCUUCCCCCAGAUCAGGGACCGUCCCAUGCCCACCAAGUCCUGAAAUGCCACUUCCAACUCCUCCCAGAAGCCCUUAGACCCACCCAGGAUGGCCAACGGGCAGCUCCCGUUGGCACGGGAGAAGAGGCCUAAGGAACUAAGGAGGGUAUUGCCAUCAGAUGGGGGCUGUGGCAACUGCAACUCAGGGACUCCCUGGGACUCUC
rnacentral:lncRNA from 1 species